CCCUCCUCCUAGUUCAUCCUGCAUCACAAACAGAUUGAAGACUACAAUUCUCAGCAGGCCUAGUUCCCACAACCUCGGCCUCUCCCUACCCGGGGGUGGGGGGGAGAUGCAUUCUGGAACUUGUAGUCUUCCAGACCGUAGGUCGAGUUUGACACCCUACCCCGCCUCCUCAGGCCGAAAUAAACAGCUCUUCACACCCGCGUUAAUCCUAAAGGCCCCAAAUGCAUGCUAAUCAAGCGCACUCCAACAGACUUUAACCUGAACUUGGUGUGUGAAGUGCUGAACAACCAUUUAAAGAAACCCUUCAUUCACCUGGUACUUUUUCUUGCGUAAGGGAGGAACACCUGUGUAUGGCUCUGCCCCCAGUCUUGGGUAGUCAGUGCGGGCCGUAUACAUGAGAGAAAGACCCAGUCCUUUCCAAGGCGCAGUGGAUGGCCGAGUGAGAACAAACUGCCACCCCUUUAAACCCAGAUCCUCCAGGACCUUGCAGGCGCCGGAACCACUGAGCUAAAUCCCCGGCCCCCCACGUAUUUAAUCUUAAGGGAUCAGAGUUUAAUUUCCUGACGAGUGGCACCCAACCUCUCCAUCCACCUGCCUGACUUAGCUUUUGAGGAAGAUUUCCUCCUCCGUGAUGAAAGAAAAACUGCUGCCCUGGAAUAUACUGUAUUAUGAUGAAGUCCUUCGCAAGAUCAUGUUGGGCCUUGCAGUGAAUUAAGGAUGGUCACAGUCGAUCCCAUCCUGUAUUGUCACAAGCACAUAUAUAUGGCUGGACGGCAAACAUGGAGAGAAUCAUGAAAGUCCAAGCCCUAAGAGACAUCUCAAUGAUAGGUUAUAUGGCAGCAAAGAAGCACCUGGAAAUCAACCCUGACCACUCCAUCAUGGAGACCCUGAGGCAGAAGGCCGAGGCUGACAAGAACGACAAGUCUGUAAAGGAUCUGGCCAUCUUGCUUUAUGAAACUGCGCUCCUGUACUCUGGCUUCAGUCUGGAGGACCCCAGACACACGUGAAUAGGAUUUACAGGAUGAUCAAGCUGGAUCUCAGUAUUGAUGAGGAUGACCCCACCGAUGACAAAACCACUGCUGCUGUCACUGAAGAGAUGCUGCCCCUCGACGGAGAUGACGACAUGUCACGCAUGGAAGAAGUCGACUAAACUCUGUCCGAAGAACAACUCUGAUGCGUGCUCAUGAUUGCUGAGAAUCUCUAGGCUGGAGCCUCCAAUGUGUUGUGCCCAGAAGUGGUGCAGGAACUCCUGAGAUGCCAACCAGGGUGCUGAACCGGUCCCCUCCUGACCCAGAGACGCUUCAUCCAUUUGCCCCAGUGAGCCAGACAAAUAUCAUUUGCACUGAACAAUUAAUCUCUUUCUAAGUGUGCCACAAAUU